UUGGUGUCCUCAGUAGAUGGAUUGUUCUGAAAGUCACUAGGCUGCCAAUGUUAGAAACAUAAGUCUACGAAGACUAAUGAAGUAAAACUGGAGAGAGCCUGCAGAACUACCAACAAAUCUGGACUUGAAGAAAACUUCAAGGUACCUGAGGUCAACUACGGUCUGGAAGCAGAUGAUCCUUCUCCUGACAUAUCAUCAUCAUAAAGUCAGCCUAACUUUAUGUCACAAGCCUGUCAUUCACCUCACUUCACUUCAUCAGUUACCGGCUGUCAACCACAGUCUGGAAGCAGAUGAUCCUCCUACUGACAUAUGGUCGGAAAGUCGAUAGUACCCGAAAACUACAUCAUCCUGCUUACAUCAUUCACCUCACUUCACCUCAUCAGUACCACCACCUUAACAAUGGCUGAUUGGACCAGGUGGACACCCGACCCAAAGCAAAGCAAUUCAAUGGCUUUCCAUAGACUAAUGAGAGAUUUCCCUAUGUGAAGAAUUGGAACCAAGAGACCGUAUGUAGUCGGUCAUGUGCACUGGACAAAGGUGAGGCAGACAAAGGUCUGGCAGUGAAACUGGGCAAUGUACAGCUGGGGACUGGAUGGCAGGGAGGGAAGGAGAAGCAGAAAUGAAAGAGAUAAUUUCAACUUUUUUUCCAUGAUCUAAUUGCCACAAUAUUGCUGCAGAAUAAACAACCAGAAAAUAUUAGUAGCACUCAAGAAUAAAUAUCUAUUUUUGGUCUUGAGUUUCUGUGUUGGCUACGCAGUUCUUUUGAUCCAACCAAGCGUCCAUGGCAUCCUUUGUGGA